AUGUAAAAAAAAAAAAAAAAACAUUGAUGUAAAUGGCUUUGGCCAACUCUCAAGUGUGACCUAAAUGCAAGGAUUGUUUUUGGGGUCAGAAGAGUUCCAGAAUUUCAUGUGAUUGCUCAUUCAAGUGCCUGGAGAGCUGGGAUGUGAAAUCUGCAUUCUUAAUCCUAGACCUUGGCCAGUCAUCUGAGAUAUCACCUUACUGGCAAGACUACAUGGCACUUAGACCACACUGCUUAAUGGACUCCUGUGAGAGGAAAGGGGUUGGCUCAUCAAGCAAGAUGGUCUCUCUGAAUCAGGAAUUGCAGAAGCAAAUCAAGUCAGCAUGAUAACUCAUCUUCAGUGGGUGCUUAACUGAAAUGAUCUUGUAAAGACACAAUGUUCUCUUCUGUUGCAUGUACAACCAGGUAUGUGAAAUGGGGCAACUGUUAAUGAGUUGAAAAGUUUAUUUAUUAAAUAUGAGUCUCAUUUUAAAUAUAGAAACAGCCCUGGGAAGGGUUUAGGUUUUCAGUGUCAAUAUCUUGUGUAUAUACUUGUACAGGAGUAUUUCUGGGUCAAAUUAGUACAUACUUGAUAAUAUGGAUGUUCUGUUUGUGCUGUUUUAAAGGCCAUAGUAAGUGCCAUUAAACAUAACAGUAGAAAAGAAAAGGCACAUCUGUGUAAUGAUUGGUAAUUGUCCACACAAUUCUCAGUUGUCUGAUGCUUGUUUCUCAUUCUCUUCUCUUUUCCAUCAGAAUAUUCAGGGAAAUGCCAUAGUCUGUACACUGAUGUCUUCCUAGAUUUGUGCUUUUGUACUUGACCUGUGAGGGAACUUUGUUGGAGUGUCAGCAUGGCUUCAACUGACUUAAAUAACAAACGGAGUAAAGUUAAGAAAAUAUAGUAAGUUUUUCUAAUUCUAAAUUAUUUUCUCAUUUGUAUCCUUUUUCUUUGGGUUAAAAAAUCAUUUUGAAACAUAAUAAAACAGGGAUAGUAAUUGGGAAAUUUUACA
rnacentral:lncRNA from 1 species